GCCUGCUUGACAAUGAAGAAGAGUUGGUGUCUCAGUCUGAGCCUAAAGGCAUGAAAAAGCUGAUGUCUCAGAUCAUCAGACAGGAAGAAUUCAUUCUUACUCUGGGACUGUGAGGCACGAUUCACAAUAGCCAAGACAUGGAUACAACCUAAGUGUCCACUGACAGAUGAAUGGAUAAAGAAGAUGUAGUAUAUACACACAAUGGAAUAUUAUUCAGCCAUACAAAGAUGGAUAUCCUGCCUUUUGUGACAACAUGGAUGAACCUAGAGGGCAUUAUGCUGCGUGAAACAAGUCACAGAGAGAAAGAUCCUAGCAGAAUCUGGGACCAGCAGUCAUGCUUCUGAAAUCAUGGAUGGGUAAACGGAAUGAAAGGACAUAUUGACUAUUCUGAAGCCUCAGUAUGCUAGUAACCCUGUAGGAAUAAUACUG